AUUAAAAAAUAGUCCAGGUGAUUCCUUCUCAGAAUGCAGAAGCGUCUUUCUCCCCUCCAAGACCUCCUGUCAUAUAUUCACAGACAUACUACAAUAUCCUACUCUGAAAGGUCAAGGAAGAAAUUAUUUGACAAGGCGUACAAUGCAUAUAUUGUGGGAUGUGGUGGCACUGCGGAUUAAACCGCGGAAGCCUCUGUGCUGCAAGGUCAGAAGACCGGCUGUCGUAAGAUCGAAUCCACGCAACGGAGGGAGCUCCCUUCGCUUGUCCCAGCUCCUGCCAACUUAGCAGUUCAAAAGCAUGCAAAUCUAAGUAGAUAAAUAGGUACCACCACGAUGGGAAGGUAACAGUGUUCCAUGUCUAGUUGUGCUGGCCACGUGACCAGGGAAACUGUCUACGGACCAAUGCUGGCUCUACGGCUUGGAAAGGGGGAUGAGCACCAUGCCCUAAAGUCGGACACGAUUGGAAUAAAUGUCAAGGGGAACCUUUACCUUUUACAGCGCAUAUAAGGCAACCCGCAACUUGACAGAAAACACUUCACAACCCCCUUGGGCGUCAUGAGCCUCCAAUUGGGAAAUACUGUUCUAUACCAAUGCAGUGCUCCUUGCUGUCUUCUAUUGUUUGCAAGAGAACCUGUUUUUCAGCACGAACUGCAAGCACUCAGCCAGAGGUGUGCUUAUUGAAACAAGAUACCCAGCCUUUAUUGGCUUGAACUGGAUUCAAAUUGGAAUAUAUCCAAGGAGAGUGAAAUAGGUGACUUCCUGUUUUCUACACUGGAAUAAGUAAGGAUCAUGACCUCACAUGAAACUGGUCACCCAUCUACAGGGUAGGAGACAGUCCCUAAAACAUGUACCAGCAAUAGUUGCCAUCCUGACUUCUCCGACCCUGAUGGCUCCACAAAACCAGCACUCCUCCAUCACUAGAAUUUUGGUCACGGCGCAGCCAUCAAAUCCCAUACAAGAAGGAGGGAACGUCACUUUAAUCCCAGGAAUGAGCUCAACACAUUUUUCAAGAUGCAUCUGGUACCGAGAAAGGGCCGGGAAUGCAAAGGAAAUGAUCAUAGCCCAUGAAAAAGGCCCAUUUGCAUUGUUUUUAACUGGAGAUGCAUUCACAGGGAGGGUGACCAUGGUCGCAGGCUGCUCCAUUUACAUCGAAUCUUUAGCACAAGCGGAUACUGGCAUGUAUACAAUCGACCUGGACGAAGCUGGGGAGUUUUUGGCAACAGGCCAUGUGAAAAUAGAGGUGGUAGGUCAUGCUUCUUCUGACUGGAGCGCUCCCCCCAGGCAAAACGAAGACAUCGUGACAAUUGUGGUUGGUGCCUUCUGUGCGGUAAUAGUAGUUGGCAUUGGAAUCGUGCUUUUCUUCUGGAUCUGUUUUAGACGUCUGAAGAACAGGAGACCUACCGGUGUGGUCAUCACACCAUCCGCGCCUCCACCUCGACCUCCAACUCCACCUCCAUCUUAUGAAAAUAUUUUCCCUUUGGGACAGGUCAGUCCUACAUCUCCCCCUGCAAACACAGGUGAGAUCGGUGGAAUAAUGCAUCCCUCUCUCCCAAAGGAUAACUGACCCAGCAGAAGCCAAGGAAAAGACUGAAGUCAAAUUAUAUGUUACAGCUAACAUGUCCUCAGAAGGCAAGUUGUCUCACAUGCAGAAGUCUGAUUGUCACAGUAGAGGAUUUCCAAUGCAACACUAUCAUUUGCCUAAUAUCUAUUAUUUGGCUGGCAUUGCUCGUCCAGAAUUACAUAAAGAGGUGCUGGAAAAUAAUGAAUAAAAUAAGGUAAUACAGCUCCGAAACCA
rnacentral:lncRNA from 1 species